rnacentral:ncRNA from 2 species
AAGUAAUUCAGGAUAGGUU